UACAGAGGGCUCAAGCGUUAAUCGGAAUCACUGGGCUUAAAGCGAGCGUAGGCGGAUCGGUAGGCACGUUGUGAAAGCCCACGGCUCAACCGUGGAAUUGCAGCGUGAACCCCCGAUCUUGAGGCGAGUAGAGGUAGCCAGAACGAUAGGUGGAGCGGUGAAAUGCGUAGAGAUCUAUCGGAAUGCCGAAGGUGAAGACAGGCUACUGGGCUCGAACUGACGCUGAGGCUCGAAAGCGUGGGGAUCAAACGGG
rnacentral:rRNA from 1 species